GACGAACGCUGGCGGCGUGCUUAACACAUGCAAGUCGAGCGAUGAAAUCCCUUCGGGGAUGGAUUAGCGGCGGACGGGUGAGUAACACGUGGGUAACCUGCCUCAAAGAGGGGGAUAGCCUCCCGAAAGGGAGAUUAAUACCGCAUAACAUUAGUUUUUCGCAUGGAGAACUAAUUAAAGGAAUAACCCGCUUUGAGAUGGACCCGCGGCGCAUUAGCUAGUUGGUGAGGUAACGGCUCACCAAGGCGACGAUGCGUAGCCGACCUGAGAGGGUGAUCGGCCACAUUGGAACUGAGACACGGUCCAGACUCCUACGGGAGGCAGCAGUGGGGAAUAUUGCACAAUGGGCGAAAGCCUGAUGCAGCAACGCCGCGUGAGUGAUGAAGGCCUUCGGGUUGUAAAGCUCUGUCUUUUGGGACGAUAAUGACGGUACCAAAGGAGGAAGCCACGGCUAACUACGUGCCAGCCGCCACAGUAA
rnacentral:rRNA from 1 species